GAACUUAUGAGUUUGAUCCUGGCUCAGAAUGAACGCUAGAAGUAUGCGUAAUACAUGCAAGUUGGGAAGAUUCCAGUGUGUAUCUUUCCAGCGAACGGGUGAGGAAUACAUAGGAAUCUACCUUUUCAUUUUGCCAAGGUGCGUCUUCACAUUUGAAGGCGACCGAUUCUGAAAAGAUGAGCCUAUGGAGGAUCAGGUAGUUGGAGAGAGAAAAGCUCCCCAAGCCGAUGACCCUUAGCGGAUCUGAGAGGAUGACCCGCCACAUUGGGACUGAGAGACGGCCCAGACUCCAUCUGGAGGCAGCAGUAAGGAAUAUUGGACAAUGGGCGAAAGCUUGAUCCAGCGAUACUUCGUAAGAGAAGAAGGCCAUAUCGGUCGUAAAUCUUUUUCAGAAACUUUAGAUCAUGACAAGAGUUUCAAAAGAAGCCCCGGCAAACUUCGUGCCAGCAGCCGCGGUAAGACGAAGGGGGCAAGUGUUAUUCGGAAUGACUGGGCGUACAGCGCAUGUAGGCGGAUUUGAGCAAUGAUUUUUUGCAAAAGCCCAAAGAUUCCUUUGGAAUCGCAAGAAAGAUCACAAAUCUUGAGAUACAAAGAGGUUUCCGGAAUGUGUCAGGGAGGGCUAAGAUUCAUAGAUCUGACAUAGAACACCGAAAGCGAAAGCAGGAGACUUUUUUCUAUCUGACGUUGAGAUGCGAAGGCGUGGGGAGCGAAAAGGAUUAGAUACCCUUGUAGUCCACGCAGUCAACGAUGAAUGGCGCUCCUUCCUCUGUUCAGUCGGGAGGGAGACACUCGAACGAGACCAUUCCGCCUGGGGAGUACGGUCGCAAGGCUGGAACUCAAAGGAAUUGACGGGGGCUCAUACAAGCGGUGGAGCAUGUGGUUUAAAUCGAUACAACGCGCGGAACCUUACCAGUUUUUGUAUCUCUCUUUUGUCUUUGAUCACACAAAGACCAAUACAAGAGAGACAGGUGCUGCAUGGCUGUCGUCAGCUCGUGUCGUGAGAUGUUUGGUUCAGUCCUGUAACGAGCGCAACCCCUUUCUUGAGAAUUCCUUGAACCUCAAGAGACUGCCUACAAUACAUAGGAGGAAGGCGGGGAUGACGUCAAGUCCUCAUGGCCCUUAAAAGCUGGGCUACACAUGUGCUACAGUGGAAGACUCACUCUGAGGCAAGUCUGAAAAGAUAAGCAAAUCACAAAACUCUUCCUUGUUCGGAUUGAUAUCUGCAACUCGAUAUCAUGAAGGUGGAAUCGCUAGUAAUCGUUUAUCAGAAUGAUGCGGUGAAUACGUCUCUGAGCCUUGUACAUACCGCCCGUCACACGUUGGAAGAGAGAUGGAGUCCAAGCAGACAACAGAGGGCAACUUUGCGUCCCACUCGAUUGAAGACUCAAACCGAUGGAAACAAACUUCCCCUCUCACCCCUGACCAAGUUCCCUCUCUUAACUGAUGUGAAGUCGUAACAAGGUAGCCGUACCGGAAGGUGCUGCUGGAUUCAUACAAAC
rnacentral:rRNA from 1 species